rnacentral:rRNA from 1 species
GACGAACGCUGGCGGCGUGCUUAACACAUGCAAGUCGAACGGUAAGGCCCUUCGGGGUACACGAGUGGCGAACGGGUGAGUAACACGUGGGUGAUCUGCCCUGCACUUCGGGAUAAGCCUGGGAAACUGGGUCUAAUCCCGGAUAGGACUCCGGACUGCAUGGUCUGGGGUGGAAGGCUUGUGCGGUGUGGGAUGGGCCCGCGGCCUAUCAGCUUGUUGGUGGGGUGAUGGCCUACCAAGGCGACGACGGGUAGCCGGCCUGAGAGGGUGACCGGCCACACUGGGACUGAGAUACGGCCCAGACUCCUACGGGAGGCAGCAGUGGGGAAUAUUGCACAAUGGGCGCAAGCCUGAUGCAGCGACGCCGCGUGAGGGAUGACGGCCUUCGGGUUGUAAACCUCUUUCAGCAUCGACGAAGCGAAAGUGACGGUAGGUGCAGAAGAAGGACCGGCCAACUACGUGCCAGCAGCCGCCGUAA